rnacentral:rRNA from 1 species
CCAGAGAUGGAUUGGUGCCUUCGGGAACUCUGAGACAGGUGCUGCAUGGCCGUCGUCAGCUCGUGUCGUGAGAUGUUGGGUUAAGUCCCGUAACGAGCGCAACCCCUAUCCCUGGUUGCUAGCAGGUAAUGCUGAGAACUCCAGGGAGACUGCCGGUGACAAACCGGAGGAAGGUGGGGAUGACGUCAGGUCAUCAUGGCCCUUACGGCCAGGGCUACACACGUGCUACAAUGGCGCGUACAGAGGGCUGCCAACUCGCGAGAGUGAGCCAAUCCCUUAAAACGCGUCGUAGUCCGGAUCGGAGUCUGCAACUCGACUCCGUGAAGUCGGAAUCGCUAGUAAUCGCGAAUCAGAAUGUCGCGGUGAAUACGUUCCCGGGCCUUGCACACACCGCCCGUCACACCAUGGGAGUGGAUUGCACCAGAAGUAGUUAGUCUAACCCUCGGGAGGACGAUUACCACGGUGUGGUUCAUGACUGGGGUGAAGUCGUAGC